rnacentral:rRNA from 1 species
GGGUGCGGCCUUACGGCAAAGCGAAUUUUAGUUUGAACCCCCGAAACUAAGUGAGCUACUUCGAAACAGUUUUAAGAACAAACCCAUCUCUGUAGCAAUAGAGUGGGAUGAUUUCCAAGUAGAGGUGACAAGCCUACCGCACUUAGAGAUAGCUGGUUGCUCAAGAAAAGAAUUUAAGUUCAACCUUAAGUUUACUAAUUGCAAGAAAAACAAACAAAACUUAAGAGCCACUCAAACAAGGCACAGCUUGUUUGAAACAGGAUACAACCUUAAACAUUGGGUAAUAAUUAAGAACCGACACUAAGUGGGCCUAAAAGCAGCCACCUCUUGAAAAGCGUUAAAGCUUAAUAUCUAUUCUACCCUAAUCCCUUCACAUACAUUUAACCCAUCAACCAUAUUGAGUAAUUCCAUAAGCUUAUGGAAGAUAUAAUGCUAGAACUAGUAACAAGAAAACCCUUUCUCCAAAAUGUAAGCCUGAGCCAUUAUUGAUGUACUACUGGCAAUUACCGCGAAUGAACGCACUAUAGUAACCUAAACAAGAAAACCCUAUAAACCCCAACGUCAACCUUACACUAGAACACUUAUGGAAAGAUUAAAAGAAAAAGAAGGAACUCGGCAAAAUUUUACCCCGCCUGUUUACCAAAAACAUCGCCUCUUGAUUAAACAUAAGAGGUCUAGCCUGCCCAGUGACCUUGUUAAACGGCCGCAGUACUCUUACCGCGCAAAGGUAGCAUAAUCACUUGUUCUUUAAAUGAGGACUUGUAUCAACGGCAUCACGAGGGUUCCACUGUCUCCUUUCUCUAAUCAGUGAAACUAAUCUCCCCGUGAAGAAGCGGGGAUAAACCUAUAAGACGAGAAGACCCCAUGGAGCUUUAAAUCUAGCUACACCCCAAACUAAUAUACCCUCUCAACAACCGGGAACCUGUACGCUCAGUUUUAGGUUGGGGUGACCGCGGAGCACAACAAAACCUCCUUGAUGAAUGAGACUACUCUCUUAUCCAAGAGCCACACCUCUAAGAAUUAGCAUACUAAUGUAAAAUGAUCCGAUAAACGAUCAACGAACCAAGUUACCCUGGGGAUAACAGCGCAAUCCAUUUCGAGAGCCCCUAUCGACAAAUGGGUUUACGACCUCGAUGUUGGAUCAGGAUAUCCCAGUGGUGCAGCA